AGUGAACGCUGGCGGUAUGCCUAACACAUGCAAGUCGAACGGCAGCACAGUAAGAGCUUGCUCUUACGGGUGGCGAGUGGCGGACGGGUGAGGUAUACAUCGGAAUCUACUUUUUCGUGGGGGAUAACGUAGGGAAACUUACGCUAAUACCGCAUACGACCUACGGGUGAAAGCAGGGGAUCUUCGGACCUUGCGCGAUUGAAUGAGCCGAUGUCGGAUUAGCUAGUUGGCGGGGUAAAGGCCCACCAAGGCGACGAUCCGUAGCUGGUCUGAGAGGAUGAUCAGCCACACUGGAACUGAGACACGGUCCAGACUCCUACGGGAGGCAGCAGUGGGGAAUAUUGGACAAUGGGCGCAAGCCUGAUCCAGCCAUACCGCGUGGGUGAAGAAGGCCUUCGGGUUGUAAAGCCCUUUUGUUGGGAAAGAAAAGCAGCAGGUUAAUACCCCGCUGUUCUGACGGUACCAAAAGAAUAAGCACCGGCUAACUUCGUG
rnacentral:rRNA from 1 species